rnacentral:lncRNA from 1 species
GACCCCGCGUGCGCUGUGCGCUGCGCCUUUAAGUCCGGGCGAGGAGCGCGGCGGCCAGGCCCGCGCGGGACGUCGCCCCCGGUGGAGCGGGGCCGCGCGUGGGUCCCCUGUCGCCCGCCCCUCGGACCCGGGCUGGGGGACGCGGUUCGGGAGAGCGAGGCAGCGCGGGGAGGACAGCCGCCGGGGGCCGGGUGAGGACAGGUGGAGCACGGAGGCGACCGAGCAGCAGGGCGGGGUGGCCAAGCCGCACGCGGCUGUGGCGCGGAGCGGGCUCGACGCGGUGGCUGAGUGGGUCACCCGCGGUGUCCCUCCGGGACCGGCGGGGACCUGAGGAGGGGCGGCCCGGGGAGGGGGCACGCAGGGCCGCGCAGCGGGGCCUCGGUGAGCUGCGGGAGGGCGCGCGCGCGCGCGCGCGCUCGGGUUCCGCCGGCAUCUGGCGCGGGAUCGGGGCCUCCGCGCACCCGCCGCGCGCUCCCCACGCACACACGCCCUUCCUGCCGCGCCGCUGCCACCAUCGAGCAGGCGAACCCCGCGGAGCGGAACCGGGCGGAGCGGACCGGAGAGGCUCCAGAGAUGCGGGACCUGAGCGGGGGCGCGCGCAGACGGCGCGCCCGGGACGCUUCCUGCACCCCCAGGCCCUAAGGUGACUCCGGCCCAGCUGCACUCAGUCAACCCCUAGCUGGAGGCAGGUGGAGCCCAGACCCGGGAGUGUGACUGUGACCUUGGUGACCUUGGCUUUGUAUGAAGAGCAGAUGACUAUGUGGCCUGUAUCAUGAGGAGCAAGCCUCCUGGAAUAUGGGAGGUGAUGGGCCUUCCCACUCCAUGUCCUAUGGGAAGGGAUCUGGGAAUCUUGCUAUGUAAUUCAGGCUGGCCUUGAACUCACUGUGCAGCCCAGGCUGGCCUUGAGCUCAUGGUAGUCCUCCUGCCUCAGCCUUCUGAGUAUUGGAAUUACAUGUGUGCACCACCAUGCCUGCUCUGUCUCUGCUCUUUUUUAUGGCACUGGGGAUCGAACUCAGGACCUUGCGCUUGUGAGGCAGGUGGCAGAACCACUGAGCUAAAUCCCCAGCCCUCUGUCUCUGUUCUUGACAGGCAAAGGUUACAGAGAGAAUGGGGAGGGCUUGGCGUGGCAGUGGGACUUCGUGUCAUCCUCA